rnacentral:rRNA from 1 species
CCUACGGGUGGCAGCAGUGAGGAAUAUUGGUCAAUGGACGAGAGUCUGAACCAGCCAAGUAGCGUGAAGGAUGACUGCCCUAUGGGUUGUAAACUUCUUUUAUAUGGGAAUAAAAUGUUCCACGUGUGGGAUUUUGUAUGUAUCAUAUGAAUAAGGAUCGGCUAACUCCGUGCCAGCAGCCGCGGUAAUACGGAGGAUCCGAGCGUUAUCCGGAUUUAUUGGGUUUAAAGGGAGCGUAGGCGGUGUGUUAAGUCAGUUAUGAAAGUUUGCGGCUCAACCGUAACAUUGCAGUUGAAACUGGCAGUCUUGAGUACAGUAGAGGUGGGCGGAAUUCGUGGUGUAGCGGUGAAAUGCUUAGAUAUCACGAAGAACUCCGAUUGCGAAGGCAGUUCACUGGACUGCAACUGACGCUGAGGCUCGAAAGUGUGGGUAUCAAACAGGAUUAGAUACCCUAGUAGUC